rnacentral:rRNA from 1 species
AUUGAACGCUGGCGGCAGGCUUAACACAUGCAAGUCGAGCGGGGUGAUGGUGCUUGCACUAUCACUUAGCGGCGGACGGGUGAGUAAUGCUUAGGAAUCUGCCUAUUAGUGGGGGACAACAUCUCGAAAGGGAUGCUAAUACCGCAUACGUCCUACGGGAGAAAGCAGGGGAUCACUUGUGACCUUGCGCUAAUAGAUGAGCCUAAGUCGGAUUAGCUAGUUGGUGGGGUAAAGGCCUACCAAGGCGACGAUCUGUAGCGGGUCUGAGAGGAUGAUCCGCCACACUGGGCCUGCGACACAGCCCAGACUCCUACGGGAGGCAGCAGUGGGGAAUAUUGGACAAUUGGGGGAACCCUGAUCCAGCCAUGCCGCGUGUGUGAAGAAGGCCUUAUGGUUGUAAAGCACUUUAAGCGAGGAGGAGGCUCUUUUGGUUAAUACCCAAGAUGAGUGGACGUUACUCGCAGAAUAAGCACCGGCUAACUCUGUGCCAGCAGCCGCCGUAA